UAGGCAAGCCCAAGCUAUUACCAACAGACCAUCAACCAUGCACAGACAAGGAUAUCUACAAAUGGAGGAAACAAAAAGUGUUAAGAGUAUGAGAAAUUUUUACGAUGGGGUGUUUUUUGGCCUCUGUUUUCUUAACUCAGUUGUAUUUCUAGAAUGCGAACAUUGUAGAUGACAGCAUCUCAUCCUCAAGUCAAAACUGUUGGGAAUGCCUGGAUCAUGGUUUGGAUAUUUGUUCUCCAACUGGUGGAAUUUUUGGAAUCAAGGAACCUUUAGGAAUUGGGACAUAGCUAGCAGAAGUGGUUCACUUGGUCAGGCCACGGAAGGUUGAGAGAGGCUCCUGCUUCCUUCCUGCCUUGCACAUUUUGCUUCCUGGUCUACUGCAGUGGACUCAGCUGAUGCUCCACCCUUUCCUACUCAUAACUGACUCAAACCGUCUGAUUCAUUAAUAAAACAGAUCCUUCUUCAGAAAA